rnacentral:rRNA from 1 species
GAUGAACGCUGGCGGCGUGCCUAUUACAUGCAAGUCGAGCGAACAGACGAGGAGCUUGCUCCUCUGACGUUAGCGGCGGACGGGUGAGUAACACGUGGAUAACCUACCUAUAAGACUGGGAUAACUUCGGGAAACCGGAGCUAAUACCGGAUAAUAUAUUGAACCGCAUGGUUCAAUAGUGAAAGACGGUUUUGCUGUCACUUAUAGAUGGAUCCGCGCCGCAUUAGCUAGUUGGUAAGGUAACGGCUUACCAAGGCAACGAUGCGUAGCCGACCUGAGAGGGGGAUCGGCCACACUGGAACUGAGACACGGUCCAGACUCCUACGGGAGGCAGCAGUAGGGAAUCUUCCGCAAUGGGCGAAAGCCUGACGGAGCAACGCCGCGUGAGUGAUGAAGGUCUUCGGAUCGUAAAACUCUGUUAUUAGGGAAGAACAAAUGUGUAAGUAACUAUGCACGUCUUGACGGUACCUAAUCAGAAAGCCACGGCUAACUACGUG